CCUACGGGAGGCAGCAGUGGGGGAUAUUGCACAAUGGGGGGAACCCUGAUGCAGCGACGCCGCGUGGGGGAAGAAGCGCCUCGGCGCGUAAAGCCCUGUCAGCAGGGAAGAAAAUGACGGUACCUGAAGAAGAAGCCCCGGCUAACUAAGUGCCAGCAGCCGCGGUAAUAAGUAGGGGGCAAGCGUUAUCCGGAUUUACUGGGUGUAAAGGGGGCGCAGACGGCGAUGCAGGCCAGGAGUGAAAGCGCGGGGCCCAACCCCGGGACUGCUCUUGGAACUGCGUGGCUGGAGUGCAGGAGGGGCAGGCGGAAUUCCUGGUGUAGCGGUGAAAUGCGUAGAUAUCAGGAGGAACACCGGUGGCGAAGGCGGCCUGCUGGACUGCAACUGACGUUGAGGCCCGAAAGCGUGGGGAGCAAACAGGAUUAGAUACCCGGGUAGUC
rnacentral:rRNA from 1 species